rnacentral:rRNA from 1 species
ACUAUGCUUAGCCGUAAACUUUAAUACUUACAAUAAACAUUCGCCAGGGUACUACGAGCGUUAGCUUAAAACCCAAAGGACUUGGCGGUGCCCCAAACCCAC